rnacentral:tRNA from 1 species
GCCUGGCGGGCUCAGGCCACAGAGCACAAGACUCUUGAUCUUGGGGUUGUGAGUUCAAGUUCCAUGUCAGGGG